GGGGAUUUAGCUCAGCGGUAGAGCGCUUGCCUAGCAAGCACAAGGCCCUGGGUUCGGACCCCAGCUCCG
rnacentral:tRNA from 1 species